rnacentral:rRNA from 1 species
AACGAACGCUAGCGGCGUGCUUAACACAUGCAAGUCGCACGAGAAAUCCCGGGCAACUGGGAGAGUAAAGUGGCGCACGGGUGAGUAGCACGUGGGUAAUCUACCCUGAAGUUGGGAAUAACACCUCGAAAGGGGUGCUAAUACCCAAUAAUAUCCUCGGGACCCCGGUCUUGAGGAUCAAAGAUGGCUGAGGCUUGCAAGCUAUUGCUUUAGGAUGAGCCCGCGCACCAUUAGCUAGUUGGUGGGGUAAUGGCCCACAAGGCCAUGAUGGUUAGCGGGCCUGAGAGGAUGGCCAGCCACACUGGAACUGAGAUACGGUCCAGACCCCUACGGGAGGCAGCAGUGAGGAAUCUUGCGAAAUGGGGGCAACCCUGACGCAGCAACGCCGCGUGAGUGAUGAAGGCCUUCGGGUCGUAAAGCUCUGUCAGAUGGGAAGAAAGUUCCGGGCGUGAACAAUUCCCGGGAUUGACGGUACCGUCAAAGGAAGCACCGGCUAACUCCGUGCCAGCAGCCGCCGUAACAC